rnacentral:lncRNA from 1 species
CUUGCCCUCUCUAGACCCUACUUAUGGGAGCUCACUGGAUUUGUUCUUGUCGUUGUAGUAGAUCUUUGAGAAACGAAGGAAGAAAUAGUUUGGGUGGUGGGAGGGUGGUGGAAUUUGUAGUAUUUGACCCUCUAUUACCUCUCUGCAAGUAUUAAAGCUUGGAGGAUGGGAUAUAUGAUGUUAUUCAGGGGCUAAAUAUUGUGAUGUAGAUCGGAAGAUUCAUAGAUUGCUAUUACUACCUAGAGUUAAACUGCUUUCCUGACUUCGAUUAUAUUUAUCUUCUUGUUGUUGUUCCUACUUGUUGCCAUUACUCCUUUUCAUCCUUUCUACGGCCGAGGGUUUAUAUGCUUUUCUACUCUUCCAGGAUAGGGGUAAGAUUGCGUACAUCUUGCCCUCUCUAGACCCUACUUAUGGGAGCUCACUGGAUUUGUUCUUGUCGUUGUAGUAGAUCUUUGAGAAACGAAGGAAGAAAUAGUUUGGGUGGUGGGAGGGUGGUGGAAUUUGUAGUAUUUGACCCUCUAUUACCUCUCUGCAAGUAUUAAAGCUUGGAGGAUGGGAUAUAUGAUGUUAUUCAGGGGCUAAAUAUUGUGAUGUUCGCAUAAUGUGGUGCGCCGUGUGAGAUAAGUAUUUUAUCACA